rnacentral:lncRNA from 1 species
UACUACGAUUUUAGGUACACAUGAGAUGCUCUAGGUGAGUAGAGAGUUGUCAGGAGGACUGCCUGUAGGAGACUAGUUAGGAAGGCAUCAAAACAGCACUGGAAAGAGACUACAGCAGUGUUUCUAGCUGGGGGCAUCAGAGUUAUCCACGGUUGGGGGGGCAGGGGUCUAGACUCUGGGCACAUUUAAUGUUGAUGUUACUUUUUGUGAGAAUUAAGUUCAAAUAUAAAUGCACAUCCCUUGGCAUAGACCAUGGCCGUGAGUGAAGGAUGCCUGGCAAUCAUUAUCCUAACCUAUUAUGACCUUUACCAGGGUGCUGAUAUGGGAACAUCAGUGAAAUGGUUGCCUAUCCCAUCGUUUGUUCAUGUCUGCCUCUCUCACCCAAUUUUCAACCUUGUUCCUUUUUGAUGGGAAUUUUCCUGAUUUUAAAACAGAAGACCCUGAGGACUAGGCAAAUCAGGACAGUUGGUGCCUCAUUCAGGGAGGGGCUGGUACCUGAGGAAUCAUUCUUUCUCUGUGGCCUCUUGCAGUGACUAUCACAUGGUGGCUCUCAACACUUUACCUGCCUGAUAAAAUAAACCAAAGUUUUGCCUUAAAAUUAAAUAAAUAUGAUAGUUCAUAAUGAUAAAAUGUGACCAGUUUAGUUUAAAAGUCAGUCUUUAGUAUACGUGUCUUGGAAAUAUGAGAAAAGAGCCUCUUGGGUAGUUUUCUUCGUUCUUCUGUUUAAUCUAGGUUUAAAUUCAGGGGAAGCACGAUUCCAACCAUUCCUCCCAUGAGAAGUGUUUCCAAGGGCAAGUGCUCAACAGACACAGCUGGCGCUGUCUCUGUGUUCCAUGUUUAGAAGGGAGACAAGCUCACCUUUCCCUUUGCUCAGCCAUGGACCACUUGUGUCCUGGUAUUUUAAUGAGUACUGAAAUUUAGAAGAGAAAAUAGUGUUCACGCAUUAUUUUAUUUCUCUAUUUCUUUGAGUCCAAAUUUUCAUAAAGGUUCAUAUAAUUUCAAUAGGUUUAUCCUAAUUUAUAUAAAUAGGGUUAUAUUAAUGUAUAAAUCAAUGAGCCUAUUUGAGACAUGAUUAGAUGAAUGUUCUGCAAAAGUAUAAUUUCUCAAAAGUUAAAUAUGUGACUGUCACAUAAAUAUGGGAUGAAUGAACAUGUAUCAAAUGUUUAUUUAAAUCAUCCAUGAGCAAGCAAACAGGUGUCAGAAAUGGUUCAAAAAGCAUUUGAUUUGAUCAGUACCUUUUAUAAACCUCUGAGAAAGACACACUGAAAUACACGCUAUUGAUUUUUAUUUUGACUUUUGCAAUUUGUUGCUUUAUGAAAAGUAUUUGGGCUGGAGUUGUGCUGUCUCGAGCUGGGUAUUUCAAUUUUCAAGGUAAGGGAGCCUCUGAUAAUACCACACCUGGUUAGGUUCUGGUUAAUAGUUUGCCCCGAGGGCAAGCUUGUUAAGAAGAACAGAAUGCUCUGGUGCAUUUCAAAAUUGUUUUAUUCCCUGUCCAGCUGGAAGCCUGAAAAGAAACCACACAUUUGGUGUCAGGAGAAAAAUAAUACUGAUUGCUUGGGCUUUUGUUUUCAGUUACAGUAAAAUUACUUGAUUUCUUGAUUCAUUACUGGGCACAAAUAUACGUGUUAACAUGCAACUUCACAGAUUAUGGACCCUGAUUACUAGUAAAUAGUAAGUGAAACACAGAUGCAUUCACCUCAAAGCCAAAUAACCUUUGAGCGGGCCUGUUAAACAAUGCUCCAGUAUAACACUGAAAGGAAAGAGUGCUCUUCCUUUGCUGUAUUUUCUGUUUUAGGUAAUUCUUCUUUACACUUAGGCCAGAAUCAGCAUAGACUCUGAGGUAGACAUUUUUUUCUUUCAUUAAAAACAAUCAAGAUGAUGAUAAUGUCGGGGAUCAAAAUUGUCCACCUCAAAAUGUGUCUAACUGGCUUAAUUUUUAAGCUAAAGACUCUGAAAGAAUGUUUAACAAUUCCCUUAAGUGCCUAAAAGAAUUUAAGUUAGAAGACCUGUUCGCAGGACAAGCCAUCACUAUAGAUAAUUCUCAGUAUCCAUAGACCGUGAGGGUCCUUGCUAAACCCAUCCUUAUCAAAGUUUUAUCUACUGAGUGCUUGCUUUUCCAUUUCCAAGUGAAUUGUCUUCCUCCCCUUUGAAGCCCCAAAACACUAUCCCCAAUUUCUUCCUUUGUCUUUAGCUGAAGAUGAUAUUUAAGUUGACAGCUUCAGCCAUUCUGCUUGAGCCACUCAAUUUUCCUGGGUUUCUUCCGUGCAUACACAUUAUAAAGUUUUGAGUUUCUCCUGUCAUUCUGUCUCAUGUCACUUUAAAUCUCAGACCAGCCAGAAGGACCUAGAGGGUAGAGGAAUUGUCUUAUUCCCCUACAAUAACAGUGAGCAUUUAUACAGCAUUUACAAUGGGCCAGAUACUCUUCCAGAUACUUUACAAAUAUUUCACUUAAUCCUUCCAGUAAUGCUACAAAGUGAAUAAUGUUAUUACUCACAUAUGAUAGAAGAGGAACAUGAAGCUUAUUUAUAAUUGUGAUACAAGAUCACAAAAUGGGUGAGGAAUACAAACAGGAUUAAAAUAUACACAAACAAAAUUGAGACUUCAAGAGUUUAUAGGCUAUCAAAGCAUUGAUACCCAGUUCUUGAUGCAGUAAAAGUUCACCUUCAGAUGAUUCAUUUAAAGAAGUGUUUUUCAAAGUGUAAUUAGCAAGCCCUUUGAGUGAUUCAGAUGUUCCCUAAAGUUUGAGAACCUUAAAUCUAAGGUGAUUUAGAUGUACAUUCUUACACUGUGCUACCACAGGAUAAAAAUGUUCCUUUAAAACAAAAACAUUGUUUACAUUCUUGUAGAUCAUAAAAAUUGGUAGAUGGAUGGGCUGUUUUGAAGAUUAAAUAUAAUGCAUGUAAGUUUAUUUAGAAUGCUGAGCAUACUUGCUAGCAUGUAGAAAUGCUUAAUAAAUAAAAUCUAUUAUUAUUAUUAUUACACUAAGAAAAAACGAUAAUCUGUCUAUUUCAGGCAAUUAAGUCACAUUUGUACAGUUCAAGAAGUGGAAUUCCAGAUAUUACCUCCAAUAAGUGUGUGCAUUGCUGUUAUCCUUAACAGUGACACAUCUCUUCACCUUCCCAUUCAGGGUUCUUUUGCUUUUAGCAAAACCUAGGAGGUAAAUAAAUUAAUUGCCCCAUUUACUCUUUAAGAAAUACUUAAAUCUGUGUUCCUUUGCCAAAGGUGAUUUGCCAUUGAAAGUGUCAUUGCGCUGGGAAAGAUAUUUUGUAGCUGUAGGAAACUUUAAGUGGUCUCAUAGGACUUCUAAAUAAAAAUGACAUGAGGCCAGGAGCAGAAAGAAGUACACUCAACACUGAUGUAAGCAAACAUUUGUAGUCAAAUUGUCAGAAAGUACCAUCUACACGCCUCAUGGAUGAGGACUCUCUACUAAGGAGGUGAGUUUAAUUUGUUUCAGAAUUAUUUUUCAUUAUGCCAGGAAGGCAUUUGAAUUGAUUUAUAUUUAUCAUGUGUUUGGUAUUUUACAUGUAAAUUUUGAGUUUCAGAAUAACUUUUGUAAAACUGUUUACUUUUCUCCUCACUUACUGUUAGGAUGAAAAAAAGGAACAUAAUUGCUAAGAUUCUGUCAAUUACUCUAUCAGCAAUGUUUUCUUCUUUUAAAGGGAUAAAUUGUCACAGGUAAAUGCAGUCAUAGAGAUUUAAUUACUCCAGCUCUUCCAUAUUUUUGUAUUUGUUCCUUAUACAUUCCUAUUCUAUAUUAUAUUUCAUUCUAUUGAUAGACUGCAUGUAUUUAUUAAUUCUGCUUGUGAUGAGCAUUUGGAUUGUUUUCAGUUCGGGUCUACUGUGAAUUAAACUGCUGUAAACAUUUCCAUAAUUGUCAUUUCAUGGAAUGAGCUGAUGUUUCUGCUUGGUAAGUAGACCACAGUGGAAUUAUUGGUUCAUAAAUUAUAAGAAUGUCGAGCUGUACUAGAUAUUACAAAAAUUUUUUCCAAGUUUUUUAUGCCAACUUACACCCUAUUGGCAAUUUUCAGUUCAGAAUUGAGAGUUCCAGUUCUUCAAAACCCUGAAAACACUGGUAUUGUUAGUCUUUUUAAUUUGAGCCAUUGCAAUGUGUUUUCAAUUGCAGUGUUUUUUUACUAUUUUGUUGAGAUCAUAAUAGUUUAUAACAUUGUGAUAUUUCAGUUGUACAUUAUUAUUUGUCUAUCACCAUAUAUAUGUGCUCCUUUACCCCAUUGGCCAAUCAGCAAACCCUUUCCCCUCUGGUAACUGCUAAUCUGUUAUCUUUGUCCAUGUGUUUGAUUACCUUCCACAUAUGAGUGAAGUCAUAUGGUGUUUGUCUUUCUGUCUGGAUUAAUUCACUUAACCCUCAAAGUCCAUCCAUGUAGUUACAAAUGGGAUGAUUUUGUCUUAUUUUUAUGGCUGAGUAGUAUUCCAUUGUAUAUAUGUAUGUACCCCAUAUCUUUUUUAUUCAUUCAUCAGUUGAUGGGAACCUGGGUUGCUUCCACAUCUUGGCUAUUGUGAAUAAUGCUUCAAUGAACACAGGGGUGCAUAAGUCUCUUUGGAUUAUUGAUUUCCAGUUCUUUGGAUAAAUACCAAGUAAUGGGAUAACUGGGUCAUAAGGUAUUUCAAGUUUUAAUUUUUUGCAAAAUCUCCAUACUGUUUUCCAUAGUGGCUGCACCAGUUUGCAUUCCCACCAGCAGUGUAUGAAGGUUGCUUUUCUCCAUAUCCUCUCCAACAUUUGACAUUUUUUGUCUUGGUAAUUACAGCCAAUCUAACAGGUGUAAGGUGAUAUCUCAUGGUAGUUUUGAUUUGCAUUUCUUUAGUAAUUGCUGAUAUUGAAUAACUUUCCAUGUGGCCUUGCUAUCUGUAUAUCUUCCUUGGAAAAAUGUCUGUUCAUAUCCUCUGCCCAUUCUUUUAUUGGGUUGUUUGUUUUGUUAUUGUUGAGUUGUAUGAGUUCCUCAUAUAUUUUAUGUAUAUAUAAACUUAUACAUUAUAUAUAUUAUAUAUCCAUAUAUUAUAUAUAUAUAUAUUAACUUCUUGUCAAUAUAUGAUUUGCAAAUAUCUCCUCCUAGUUGGUAGGUUGUCUUUUUGUUUUGUUUCUGGUUUCUUAUGCCUUGCAGAAGUACUUUAGUCUGAUGAAGUCCCAUUUGUUUAUUUUUACUUUUGUUUCCUUGCCUGAGUAGACAUGGUAUUCAAAAAGAUACUUCUAAAACUGAUGUCAAAGUGCGUACUACCUGUAUUUUCUUCUGAGAUUUAUAGUUUCACAUCUCACUUUCAAAUUUUUAAUGCAUUUUGAGUUAAUUUCUGUGUAUGGUGAGAGAUAACGGUCUACGUUCAUUCCUUUGCAUGUGGCUGUCCAGUUUUCCCAACACUAUUUAUUGAAGACACUUUCCUUUAUCCAUUGUAUUUUCUUAGCUCCUUUGUCAAAGAUUAGCUGUCUGUAGAUGUGUGGUUUUAUUUCUGGCCUUUCAGUUCUGUUGCAGUGAUCCAUGUGUAUGCUUUUGUACCAGUACCAUGCUGUUUUGAUUACUAUAGUUUUCUAGUAUACUAGUCAGAGAUUGUGAUGCCUCUACAUUUGUUCUUUAUUCUCAAGAUUACUUUAGCUAUUCAGAGUCCUUUGUUGUCCCCUAUGAAUUUUAGGAUUCUUUGUUCUAUUUCCAUGAAGAAUGUCAUUGAGAUUGUGAUGAAUCCUUAGAUUACUUUAAGUAGUAUGGACAUUUAAACUUUGUUUAUUCUUCCAAUCCAUGUUUAUAGAAUAUCAUUCAAUUUCUUUGUGUCACCAGUGAUUUUUUAAAAUAAUGUCUUACAAUUUUCAUUGCAUAGGUAUUUCACAUCCUGGCUUACAUUUAUUCAUAGAUAUUUUAAUCUUUUUGUUGAGAUUGUAAGUGGGAUUGUAUUCUUGAGUUCUCUUUCUUUAGAUUUGUUAUGAAGUAUAGAAACACAAUUGAUUUUUGUAACUCGAUGUUGUACCUUCCAACUUUGUGUAGUUGUUGAUUAUUUCUAAUAUUUUUCCAAUAGAUUCUUUCAGAUUUUCUAUACAUAAAAUCAUGUCAUCUGCAAGUAGUGAGAAUUUCACUCCUUAGAUGCCACUUGGAUGCCAUUUACUUCUUUUUCUUGCCUAAUUGCUUUGACCAAAACUUCCAGUGUUGUGUUGAAUAAAAGUGGUGAGAGUGGACACCCUUGUCUUGUUCUUGUUCUCAGAUUGAUGGCUUUUAGUGUUUCCUCACUGAGUAUGAUGUUUGUUCCCUUAAUAGAGAAACCUCAGUCCUUUUGAACAUAGAAAACUAUUUUAACAGACAUAGAUAUUCUGUCCUAAUGGUAAACUUACCAAAGUUAAAGAAAAACCUUGUAUAACCUCUUUAUCAAGAGCAGACUAACACUCCAGGAAAAUUAUCCAUUUACGAGAGAGAAAACCAAAUUUUAAUUUUUGCAUGAGCUUAUUUUUGACAUUAAAAUUCAUUUACUUGGGGUCAAGACAAUGUAUGAAGAAUUUCAAGAAAAUGAGAAAAUACUAAAUUCUUGAGUUUGAAAGUACUGGUCUGUGAAAAUGUGUCUAUGUAUGUGGAAGUACGUGUGUGUGUGCAUAGAGUAUGUCCCAUAAUUAUGCCUUUGUGAAGCUGUUCUAACUUCACAAAUGUAAAUGCUACUAAUAUAAAACACAUUAUUUGGAGAUUUAAUUAUAUUUUCAUUGUAAUUAUUUUAAAUAAUAGUAAAUGGUUAGUUUGAAUUUUUGUGUCACUCGUUCUGAGUGAAAAUGACAAAGAUUGAUGGAAACAAUAAAAACUUAAAUAUUCAAAAUUAAAUAAGUAUAAAAUAAAGUUCUACUUCUGGAUAGAUGAAAGUAGAAAACUUAUUAUGGGGGACGGCCUAUUGGCAGACUAUUUAAGUUUGCAUGCUCCACUUUAGUGGCCGAGGGUUCACAGGUUCAGAUCCCAGGUGUGGACCUAGCACUGCUUAUCAAGCCACACUGUGGCAGCAUCCUACAUAAAAUAGAGAAAGAUUGGCACAGAUAUUAGUUCAGUGACAAUCUUCCUAAAGCAAAAGGAGGAAGAUUGGCAGUGGAAGUUAGCACAGGGCCAAUAUCCCUUAGAAAAAGAAAAGUUAUUAUGUGGAAAAAUGAAGCAGACAUUUGCACAACAUGGAUGAAGCUGAAGGGCAUUAUUCUCAAUGAAAUAAACCAGAGAGAGAAGACAACACUGCAUGAUAUCACUUAUAUGUGAAAUCUAAAAAAAAAAAGGUCAACUUACAUAAACAGAAAGUAGAAAGGUGGUUGCCAGGGGCUAUGGGGUGGGGGGAAAAAGGGAGAAGCAGGUAAAAGGGGACAAACUUUCAACUCUAAUGUCAAGAGCUUCUGAGGAUCUAACGUCUGACGUAGUGUCUAGAGUCGAGAACACGGGAUUGUACAAUUGAAAUCAGCUAAGAGAGAAGCACUUCAAUGUUCUCACACACACAAAGUCAAUAUGUGAGGUGAAAAAAUAUCGGAGGUUAGGACAGAGGCGAAUCAGGACGUGAAUCCCUGGGAACCAGCCUAAAUUUCCAGGAGAACUUCAGACCUUCAAAGGCCAUGACAUAGGUGGGUUGAAACCAAGAAUCCAGGAGACACAAGGAACCGGGUGACAUCUGGCCUCCAGGUGGAAGGAAUAGAAAACUACCCAAGGUCUAGAAGGCCCAGGAGGGUGGAGGGAGGCAGUUGUAGGCCAGUUGGUGGGGGAGGGGCUGUGGUCCAAUCUGCUUCCCUGCUGUCCCCUCGCCUCCUCAGGAGCCCUUGUGACACGGCCACAGUUCCAUGAUGAGGGCGUGGGGUUCUAAUCUCCAAGUCACUCCCAGUGCUCAGUUGCCUGAGAGUAGAACUGUAUUGAGAUAUGGAAACUCCUAUCUUAUAUAUAAAAAGCAUUGUUGUUACCUGGCUGAGCUCCAGUUCUGCUUCCUGGGUGAUUGGGACCAUCCUCCGCAUCCUGUAUGGACUGGGGCUCUUCCUCCUGUUCCUUCCCUCCCUCCAGAGGAAUUUGCCCUUACAACCACCUUACAAAAGGAGAAACGUCAGGAAGCAUCAAGUGGAGCCAAGAGGGAGGAGCAGCAGGAGCAGGAAGAAAAGGGGAGCUUUGAAAGCUUACAGAGCUGGCUGGAAGGACCUGGCAGAAGUGCGGGGCCAGAUGUCGCUUUCGCAAAGCUCCCCGGCGAGGCUGUCUUCUAAGGGAUGCUUCCAUCGCUUGUCAUCUCAAGACGCCCCGGGGGUGGCCUGCAAGACAGCGUCUUCCAGAGUCCGCCAACCAUGCGGGAAGCCUGUGGAAGGUACUCCUCUCACCCCCACUCCAGUACUUUUCCUUGCUCCUCUGACCCAGCCCAUUCUACCUUUGGUCUCCACUCUGCCAGCAGAACCUCCAUCUGACUUGACCAGAAUCCCGCUAGGCCCUGUUGCCAUGAGCUCAACUCCAGCUCACUCCUGUUGGCCAUUUCCCAACUCAGGCCUCGGCCACAUGAGCUGUCGCAUUGAGUUCCUCUCCCAGUGGAACAUAAUCAAGGUCUUGUUCUUCCCUGUGUCAUCACACCUCGAGUCCCAGCAAGGGCACCUGUUCUGUCACUGACCAGUGCCCUCAUUCUGGGGAGGCCCCGCAAAUAGGGAGGGAGAGACUGAUAGCCCCUCAGUUGCCAACCCUGAUGUCCAGAAGCUGCUUGAGACAGAAAUCACAGAAAGAAUACAUACGAAGGUCUGGGGAAAAGAAGACCAAGGUGAUCCAGGCACUCCUCAGAUGCUCGAAGCACACAAUAUCAUGUCUGGGCUGAAUUUCUGCUGAGGCCUACCCCUCCUGUCCUUGGAGCCUGCAGAUCUGAAAGCAUGUGGGGCUCAACACUCGGCCCUUCCACGGUCCCCUUUUCCCCCUCAGCCACCUGUGAUUCUGGGGCCCACUCGAAAGCUGACUUUGCACAGUUCAUGGGAAAACCUCUUGAGCCUCCUCCAGGUGACAAAGUCUUAACUUUGACAACAAAAGCAUCAGUUCCCAGCCUGCCCCAUCCCCUCCCUGCUGCCUCACCUAUGUGUGAGGAAAAUCAGAAGGCCCUGGGAUGGACCCUACCUGGCGAUGCCAGUGAGCCCUCAGAAGCCUCUCUCUUGGGGCAGGAGGGCCGGCUGCCUUCUCCAACCUUCACAUUCAGGCUCUCAGAGAGAAAAGGGCAGAGUGGGACCAUCAAGGGGGCCUAGCAAGGCCGUUUAGAGCUGAGUUCAGGGUGCCCAGUGGCCAGGAAUGAGCCUCGGGAAUAGAGUAAGGGUGGGGCCUCACCAGAGCCCUGCCGUGGGGUGGCAACAGUGGAGGGGGAGUCAGGGUUCCAGUCUUGGACCCAGCUCAGGGGAAUAUUAGACACCCUUGGGACCAAACCCCUCCAGCCCAUGCCUGAAAAGGAAGAGGUUUAUCACAACAGCCCUUUCAGAAAAAUGUUGAGACGCCUCCUGCCCUGUCUGAGGCCCAAAAAGGAGGAAGCACCAGAGAAUCCCCUUGCAAAGGAAAGCCCGUGUCAGCCAUCGCCCAGAGCCAGGCACGGGUCACACACAGCUCGGAGUUGGAUGGCAGGGCUGUUCAGGCGCCAUCGACAGUGACAUCCUUUGUCCGGGUCCUGGGAGAAAACAGGCUUGCAGAGAACUUCUGGCCUCCCAGUCGAAGCAUCAUAAAAACCAUUUCAGGCCUGGGAAGCUGGACAUGCCUGUUACCAUGAUGUUCCCUCCUCCCCAGACCAGAGAAGAACAAUGACAGAGGUCAGUCCCCAAACUACCUCCAGGGACCACAACUGUCUGAAUAUGAGGGAAUGGAUCAAAACAAGCAUGGCAACUGGACCUUGCCAUCCAGGCAGCCGCAGUCCCCAGCCAAACCCUGCCAGCCUGGGCUGAGGGUGGCAGCUGUCUCAGGCAAUCCAUUACCCGCCAUGCUGUCUCCAGAUAUGUGUCUCCUGGGAUGAGUAGACUGUGCCUGACACACCUUUCCUCGUAGGUAUGCUUAUCUCCCCAAACGGGGAAGUGGAGGAAAAGAAAACCUGGUUUUUCUCCUUAUCCCACCCUCUGUGCUAAUGGUGUCUUCCUACCCCAAUUUUCCCCAAAUACAUUUUUUUCUCCUUAGAGUUCAUGGCUUCUGUCUGUGCCCUGCUAGUGGUAAAAACGGGGUGAGGCUCCGCCCUUCCUAAGUGUCAGCUUUGGCUUCCAGAAGGGACAGGGCCAUGGGGGGAGGCUGACUGCAGCAUGGCUCACCCGCCCUCAUCCCGACUCCCUCAUUGCACCUGAAGUCCCCAUCAUGCUGUCCGUACAAAAACAAAUGGAAGCUUAAGAUAUUUCCAGAUGA